GUUCUUGUUUAAAAUUAUAUCUAAACACUCGUAUACCCAAUAAAACCAUUAGUGCAUACAAAAAGUAAAAAAGAAAGAAUCAAAGAGCAACAAACUUCCCAAAUUUAACCGUUGAUCGAGGGGUGUCAAUGCUACCAAAAAACCAACAUGAAUGGAUUAGAAAGAUGGUUAAGAUACAAGAGACUUACUUUAAAGAAAAAAACAACUCAAUGGGAUACAAUAACAAAAUAUUAACGUGUUGAGAAGCCAACAUUUUUCACAAAAUUCACACAAAAUCUUUCAACAAUGGAAAAUUGAUGACACCUUCAUGCCUGAGGUUAGACAACUUAGAAAUUGGUUCCUUGAAUGAGCUGUUCACGUU
rnacentral:lncRNA from 1 species